rnacentral:tRNA from 1 species
AUUUAGAUAGUUUAAUUAAAACAUUGAUUUGUGGAAUCAGAGAUAUAAUUUUUUAUUUUAAAUA